rnacentral:rRNA from 1 species
GAUGAACGCUGGCGGCGUGCCUAAUACAUGCAAGUCGAGCGAACGGACGAGAAGCUUGCUUCUCUGAUGUUAGCGGCGGACGGGUGAGUAACACGUGGAUAACCUACCUAUAAGACUGGGAUAACUUCGGGAAACCGGAGCUAAUACCGAAUAAUAUUUUGAACCGCAUGGUUCAAAAGUGAAAGACGGUCUUGCUGUCACUUAUAGAUGGAUCCGCGCUGCAUUAGCUAGUUGGUAAGGUAACGGCUUACCAAGGCAACGAUGCAUAGCCGACCUGAGAGGGUGAUCGGCCACACUGGAACUGAGACACGGUCCAGACUCCUACGGGAGGCAGCAGUAGGGAAUCUUCCGCAAUGGGCGAAAGCCUGACGGAGCAACGCCGCGUGAGUGAUGAAGGUCUUCGGAUCGUAAAGCUCUGUUAUUAGGGAAGAACAUAUGUGUAAGUAACUGUGCACAUCUUGACGGUACCUAAUCAGAAAGCCACGGCUAACUACGUGCCAGCAGCCGCGGUAAUACGUAGGUGGCAAGCGUUAUCCGGAAUUAUUGGGCGUAAAGCGCGCGUAGGCGGUUUUUUAAGUCUGAUGUGAAAGCCCACGGCUCAACCGUGGAGGGUCAUUGGAAACUGGAAAACUUGAGUGCAGAAGAGGAAAGUGGAAUUCCAUGUGUAGCGGUGAAAUGCGCAGAGAUAUGGAGGAACACCAGUGGCGAAGGCGACUUUCUGGUCUGUAACUGACGCUGAUGUGCGAAAGCGUGGGGAUCAAACAGGAUUAGAUACCCUGGUAGUCCACGCCGUAAACGAUGAGUGCUAAGUGUUAGGGGGUUUCCGCCCCUUAGUGCUGCAGCUAACGCAUUAAGCACUCCGCCUGGGGAGUACGACCGCAAGGUUGAAACUCAAAGGAAUUGACGGGGACCCGCACAAGCGGUGGAGCAUGUGGUUUAAUUCGAAGCAACGCGAAGAACCUUACCAAAUCUUGACAUCCUUUGACAACUCUAGAGAUAGAGCUUUCCCCUUCGGGGGACAAAGUGACAGGUGGUGCAUGGUUGUCGUCAGCUCGUGUCGUGAGAUGUUGGGUUAAGUCCCGCAACGAGCGCAACCCUUAAGCUUAGUUGCCAUCAUUAAGUUGGGCACUCUAAGUUGACUGCCGGUGACAAACCGGAGGAAGGUGGGGAUGACGUCAAAUCAUCAUGCCCCUUAUGAUUUGGGCUACACACGUGCUACAAUGGACAAUACAAAGGGCAGCGAAACCGCGAGGUCAAGCAAAUCCCAUAAAGUUGUUCUCAGUUCGGAUUGUAGUCUGCAACUCGACUACAUGAAGCUGGAAUCGCUAGUAAUCGUAGAUCAGCAUGCUACGGUGAAUACGUUCCCGGGUCU